UACGGGGGGGGCAAGCGUUGUUCGGAAUUACUGGGCGUAAAGGGCUCGUAGGCGGCCAACUAAGUCGGAUGUGAAAUCCCCAGGCUUAACCUGGGAACUGCAUCCGAUACUGGAUGGCUUGAAUCCGGGAGAGGGAUGCGGAAUUCCAGGUGUAGCGGUGAAAUGCGUAGAUAUCUGGAGGAACACCGGUGGCGAAGGCGGCAUCCUGGACCGGAAUUGACGCUGAGGAGCGAAAGCCAGGGGAGCAAACGGG
rnacentral:rRNA from 1 species